AUGUUUCUGGGUCCCAGGUCUGGUUUCAGAACCGAAGGGCGAAGUGGAGGAAAGUACGUGGUGUUACAGCAAAGGUGGAACACGGACAGAGUAGAGCUGAAUACAGUCCACAUCACCAAAUCAAUCCCACUUUGCCCACACUGGCUCACAACAGCUGGGAUUACAGCGUACCAGUCUUACCCAUGGGGCAACAUGUGCAGUCAGCCAGCCAUGCACCAGCGUACUCAGUGCCCUCCUGCUUACCCUGGCAGCUUGGGACCUGGUCGAGAGCACCAGCCUACCUCUUCCACCAUCUUCCCUCUUCCUUCGUUCUUCCCUGGGGAGGACCAGGAGUCGUUGCAUGCAAAUUCCCAGGAUCCUUCACUCAACCAGACUUUCACAAGCAGCACCACCAGCACUGCCACCGUCCUGCCACCUGUGUCAACGCUCCUGCCCUCUUGCCUCAGGGUGGAGGAUACUCCAGCCAGGGAGUCAUUGCUAAUGCCCUCGCAGACAGAAGAAAUGGAUGUCACAGUUCCUACAGAUGACCAGGACAUCCAACUCCCUCGUCUGGACAGAAGUAAAAGUGUUUCUGCUUUUAUCAUUUCAAUUUUGGCUUAG
rnacentral:lncRNA from 1 species